GCACAAGCAGGGGGCGAUCCCCACUCUCCAAAACCCUAAAGCAUCUACAAUACAACCAAAUUGAAGGUCCAAAUCUGAUCAAAAACAAAAAUCGAGCAUAGAUUACUGAUCCUCAUCACAAGAGGAUUACAAGGCAAAGAAUCCGGAACGUUAAACGGACAAGCCGGAGGUGAUACACGCUUGGAAGGUGUGCUUUAAAGGAAUAAAUAUCAAACGGAUACGCACAUCGCUAUUGCUUAGCGGCUACUAAGUCAAGGUAUUGAAACGGG